GACGAACGCUGGCGGCGUGCCUAAUACAUGCAAGUAGAACGCUGAAGAGAGGAGCUUGCUCUUCUUGGAUGAGUUGCGAACGGGUGAGUAACGCGUAGGUAACCUGCCUUGUAGCGGGGGAUAACUAUUGGAAACGAUAGCUAAUACCGCAUAACAAUGGAUGACACAUGUCAUUUAUUUGAAAGGGGCAAUUGCUCCACUACAAGAUGGACCUGCGUUGUAUUAGCUAGUAGGUGAGGUAAUGGCUCACCUAGGCGACGAUACAUAGCCGACCUGAGAGGGUGAUCGGCCACACUGGGACUGAGACACGGCCCAGACUCCUACGGGAGGCAGCAGUAGGGAAUCUUCGGCAAUGGGGGCAAUCCUGACCGAGCAACGCCGCGUGAGUGAAGAAGGUUUUCGGAUCGUAAAGCUCUGUUGUAAGUCAAGAACGGGUGUGAGAGUGGAAAGUUCACACUGUGACGGUAGCUUACCAGAAAGAGACGGCUAACUACGUG
rnacentral:rRNA from 1 species